GACGAACGCUGGCGGCGUGCUUACCACAUGCCAGUCGAACGAAGUGGCGAACGGGUGAGUAAAGCGUAAUCAACCUGCCCUUCAGAGGGGGACAACCGUUGGAAACGACUGCUAAUACCGCAUACUGAAGGAGGGGAUUGCGUCUGAUUCUCUAGUUGGAGGGGUAACGGCCGACCAAGACUAUGUGCAGUAGCCUGUCUGGGAGGAUGAACGGCCACAGUGGGACUGAGACACGGCCCAGAAUCCUACGGGAGGCAGCAGUGGGGAAUCUUCCGCAAUGGACGAAAGUCUGACGGAGCAACGCCGCGUGAGUGCUGACGGCCUUCGGGUUGUAAAGCUCUGUUAAUCGGGACGCGGUACCGGAAUAGAAAGCCACGGCUAACUACGUGCCAGCAGCCGCGGUAAUUC
rnacentral:rRNA from 1 species